GACGAACGCUGGCGGCGUGCCUAAUACAUGCAAGUAGGACGCAGUUGCGAACGGGUGAGUAACGCGUAGGUAACUACCUAUUAGAGGGGGAUAACUAUUGGAAACGAUAGCCAAUACCGCCUACUAGUAGAUGGAUCUGCGUUGUAUUAGAUAGUAGGUAGGGUAAUGGCCUACCUAGGCAACGAUACAUAGCCGGCCUGAGAGGGGGAGCGGCCACACUGGGACUGAGAGACGGCCCAGACGCCUACGGGAGGAAGCAGUAGGGAAUCUUCGGCAAUGGGGAGAACCCGGACCGAGCGACGCCGCGUGGAUGAAGAAGGUUUUCGGAGCGUAAAGCUCUGUUAUUAAGGAAGCGGUACUUAACCAGAAAGGGACGGCUAACUCCGUGCCAGCAGCCGCGGUAAUUC
rnacentral:rRNA from 1 species